rnacentral:snoRNA from 2 species
GGCCUGUGAUGCAUGAAAAUAUUUGCUACUCUUGAUGGGAAUCACCCAUUUGAUGAUUUAUUUUCCACCAAGAUCUCUGAGGCU